rnacentral:tRNA from 1 species
GCCUUUGUAGCUUAAUGGUAGAGCAACUGCUUCGUAAGCAGUAGGUUGUGGGUUCAAGUCCCACCUAAGGCU